rnacentral:rRNA from 1 species
GACGAACGCUGGCGGCGUGCUUAACACAUGCAAGUCGAACGGAAAGGCCCUGCGUUUGUGGGGUGCUCGAGUGGCGAACGGGUGAGUAACACGUGAGUAACCUGCCCUUGACUUUGGGAUAACUUCAGGAAACUGGGGCUAAUACCGGAUAGGAGCUCCUGCUGCAUGGUGGGGGUUGGAAAGUUUCGGCGGUUGGGGAUGGACUCGCGGCUUAUCAGCUUUUUGGUGGGGUAGUGGCUUACCAAGGCUUUGACGGGUAGCCGGCCUGAGAGGGUGACCGGCCACAUUGUGACUGAGAUACCGCCCACACUCCUACGGGAGGCAUCAGUGGGGAAUAUUGCACAUUGGGCGGAAGCCUGAUGCAGCAACGCCGCGUGCGGGAUGACGGCCUUCGGUUUGUAAACCGCUUUCGCCUGUGACGAAGCGUGAUUGACGGUAAUGGGUAAAGAAGCACCGGCUAACUACGUG